UACAGAGGUCCCAAGCGUUGUUCGGAUUCACUGGGCGUAAAGGGUGCGUAGGCGGUCGGGUAAGUCUGACGUGAAAUCUUCAAGCUCAACUUGGAAACUGCGUCGGAUACUAUUCGGCUAGAGGAAUGGAGGGGAGACUGGAAUACUUGGUGUAGCAGUGAAAUGCGUAGAUAUCAAGUGGAACACCAGUGGCGAAGGCGGGUCUCUGGGCCGAUACUGACGCUGAGGAGCGAAAGCGUGGGGAGCGAACAGG
rnacentral:rRNA from 1 species